UACGUAGGGUGCAAGCGUUGUCCGGAAUUAUUGGGCGUAAAGCGCUCGUAGGCGGUCUGUCGCGUCUGCUGUGAAAAUCCAGGGCUCAACCCUGGACCUGCAGUUGGUACGGGCAGACUAGAGUGCGGUAGGGGAGAUCGGAAUUCCUGGUGUAGCGGUGAAAUGCGCAGAUAUCAGGAGGAACACCGGUGGCGAAGGCGGAUCUCUGGGCCGUAACUGACGCUGAGGAGCGAAAGCAUGGGGAGCGAACAGG
rnacentral:rRNA from 1 species